GCGUUGCAGCGUGGCGUAACGGCGUGUCUCUCCAGGCCUCUCUUGUGUGUGUGGUGAAUAGGGAGUUUUGUUCACCGGUGAACUGCUCUUGUUUCUAUGCGUGAGAUGUACUGCCGUGGAACGAGGCAGAGGAAGGGAGACUUUUGAGCAGUGUCGUCUUUGCAGUAGUUGAGCAGUGGUUCGGAAUGGGGUGGCGUGGGUGUCUGAUGCCGGGGGUGUGAACAGCUGUGUAGCGGGGAGCCUCACCAGGCUCUCUACCUCAGGUAGGAGGGGUUCGUAGGAGGGGAAGGGGGGGUAGAGGAUGUAGGAGGGGAUAGCCUAGAGGAGAGGUAGAGGGGAGAGAGGGAAUGCUCUCUUUCCCCUCAGUCUUAAUGAUCUUAGGAAGGACACACUCGGCGGUGUUAGGUAUAGGGCGGACAGUUUGGUUUCCUCGUGCGGGGGAUGAGUGUAGGCCAAAGGGAACAUGUAACUGGGGCAUUGCUUUUCUAUGUAGAUCUAGGUAGUGACAUAUAUAUAUAUAUAUAUAUAUAUAUAUAUAUAUAAUAUAUAUAUAUAUAU
rnacentral:misc_RNA from 1 species